UUCCGGUUGAUCCCGCCGGACCCGACUGCUAUCAGAAUAGGACUAAGCCAUGCGAGUCAACGUAGCAAUACGUGGCAUACGGCUCAGUAACACGUAGUCAACAUGCCCAGGGGACGUGGAUAACCUCGGGAAACUGAGGAUAAACCGCGAUAGACCAUAAUGUCUGGAAUGAUUUAUAGUUCAAAUCUAUAUGGCCCCUGGAUUGGACUGCGGCCGAUCAGGCUGUUGGUGAGGUAAUGGCCCACCCAACCUAAAACCGGUACGGGCUCUGAGAGGAGAAGCCCGGAGAUGGGCACUGAGACCAGGGCCCAGGCCCUAUGGGGCGCA
rnacentral:rRNA from 1 species